rnacentral:rRNA from 1 species
ACGCUGGCGGCGUGCUUAACACAUGCAAGUCGAACGAGGUACAUGGAAGAGCUUGCUCGGAAAUGGACCGAGUGGCGGACGGGUGAGUAACGCGUGAGCAAUCUGUCUCACACAGGGGAAUAACGCAUCGAAAGAUGUGCUAAUACCGCAUAUGACCACAGCAUCGCAUGGUGCAGGGGUGAAAGGAGCAAUCCGGUGUGAGGUGAGCUCGCGUCUGAUUAGAUAGUUGGUGAGGUAACGGCCCACCAAGUCAACGAUCAGUAGCCGACCUGAGAGGGUGAUCGGCCACAUUGGGACUGAGACACGGCCCAGACUCCUACGGGAGGCAGCAGUGGGGAAUAUUGGGCAAUGGGCGCAAGCCUGACCCAGCAACGCCGCGUGAAGGAAGAAGGUUUUCGGAUCGUAAACUUCUGUCCUACAUGAAGAGAUAGAGACGGUAGUGUAGGAGGAAGCCCCGGCUAACUACGUGCC